ensembl:snRNA U6 U6 spliceosomal RNA
GUGCUCGCUUUGGCAGUACAUAUACUAAAAUUGAAAUGGUACAGACAAGAUUUGCAUGGCCCCUGUGCAAUGAUGACACACACAUUCGUGAAGUGUUCCAUAUUUUU